rnacentral:rRNA from 1 species
CCUACGGGGGGCAGCAGUGAGGAAUAUUGGUCAAUGGGCGCGAGCCUGAACCAGCCAAGUAGCGUGAAGGAUGACUGCCCUACGGGUUGUAAACUUCUUUUAUAAAGGAAUAAAGUGAGGCACGUGUGCUUUUUUGUAUGUACUUUAUGAAUAAGGACCGGCCAACUCCGUGCCAGCAGCCGCGGUAAUACGGAGGAUCCGAGCGUUAUCCGGAUUUAUUGGGUUUAAAGGGAGCGGAGAUGGGUUGUUAAGUCAGUUGUGAAAGUUUGCGGCUCAACCGUAAAAUUGCAAUUGAUACUGGCAGGCUAGAGAGCAGUUGAGGUAGGCGGAAUGCGUGGUGUAGCGGUGAAAUGCUUAGAUAUCACGAAGAACUCCGAUUGCGAAGGCAGCUUACUAAGCUGCCACUGACAUUGAGGCUCGAAAGUGUGGGUAUCAAACAGGAUUAGAUACCCGGGUAGUC